ensembl:snRNA U6 U6 spliceosomal RNA
AUGCUCCCUUUGCCAACACAUAUGUUAAAAUUAGAAAGACACAGAGAAGAUUAGCAUGGUCCCUGAGCAAGGAUGACAGCAAAUUUGCGAAGCAUUCCAUAUUUUU